CCCUUAGAUGUUCUGGGCCGCACGCGUGCUACACUGAGUGGAUCAGCGGGUCAGGUUGCGCGAAAGUGUUUCCUAAUCUUGAAAUCCGCUCGUGAUGGGGAUUGACGGUUGCAAUUUUCCGUCAUGAACGAGGAAUACCUUGUAAGCGCGGGUCAUCAUCCCGCGCUGAAUACGUCCCUGCCCUUUGUACUCACCGCCCGUCGCUCCUACCGAUUGAGUGGUCCGGUGAGGCUUUGGGAUCUGAGCGGAAAGAGCGUUUCGCUGUUUCUGCUCGGAAAACUCAGUCGAACCUUAUCAUUUAGAGGAAGGAGAAGUCGUAACA
rnacentral:rRNA from 1 species